rnacentral:lncRNA from 12 species
AUGAAUACUUUCCGCAGGAGAUCUGCAGAAGGGAUGCUUGACAUUCAUGUGUCUACAACUCAUUUAGAAGGGAUGUCCUCCUGCAUGUGGACAGGCAGGCCGUGUGCAGGUGCUGUUCAGGAAGUCAGCAUGGGGCCUCUCAAGGAGAUGUGUCUUUGCCACCCCCCUCCCAGGGCCCACCAGGAAGACAAAGAAAUGACAAGUAUGAGCACCUGCUGUACACAGGCCAAGUCUCAGCCAGCAGAGUCUUCAGCCCCAAGAGGAUGCGACCGGCCUGGACCAAACGUCAGGUACUUAGCUGGCUUUGACCUGCUGCUGUGGAGUCACCCCUGUACCCUGGGCCGUCCAGAGAGCCAGCGAGAGGUCAGCAGGAGGCCGGUGGGCAGCGUGACGCUGCUCUGGCCCAGGAUGUCGUUGGUGGAUACGUCUUCUGCCUCCAGUAUUUAUCGGGGGCUUGCCUACGCCCUUCUCUCAUCUGGAGAUCAGAGCCAGCAUCUGGGAGACACACGGUGCCCCCAGGGUGGUCUCCCUUGACCUCCACGUUGAAUCUGACAUGGAGCCUGACCAGUUACAUCUUUUAAAUAUUUCUUGGAUCUCUGCUUCUUUUCCGUUCCUAACACCAGGGUCCAAGUUCAGCCACCGAACUUUGUCCCUUUGGUGUUAAUUCAACUCCAAGCCCUGGCUGGCAGACAGUUGAGGGAGAAUCUGAAUCUGGCCUCAUCUGCCCCAGCUCAGAGCCCUUUGGGGAUGCUCCGUUGUCUCCAGGGAAAAGCUGGGUUGCUGGGUGUGGCAUUCAAGGUCCCCCUGCCCGUCUGUCCUAACCCCAUCAACCCUUCCAGCUUUGUCUCCUGUACUCCCUGCCUUUUAUGGGUCCACGGAAGCCAAACUGCCCUGGGGCCCCCGGCUGCCCACCGCAUACUUCCCAUUGUUAACUUUGCCCCAUGCCUCAGAGCCUUGCUUGGCCUGGAAUGUCCUUCCCACCUCUACUAUCUUGUGUACCUGUAAUUUGUCCUUUCAGACAGCUGAGGCAUCAUCGGCUCCUCCAUCUCCUCCGUGUGCAUUUCCAAAUCCUCAGGUUGGGCUUGAUGCCCCCAGGUCGCUCAUGGGCAUCCUGUUGCUUGCCCAUGUGUGUGGAACAACCAGUUAAUAGGCCUACUGAGGGCUGGCAUGGCCAUCUCUGAGCCCUCAGCACCCACAGAGUCUGGCAAACAGGGACUUUUUUGCUCCGGGCAAAAGUCUGCCAGGCAAAUCCCUGAGAGAGAGGGGAGAGCAGCCUGCAGGCCCCUUCCCCUGGCCAUCCCUGCACCUGCACACGCUAUGGCCCUUGGUCCUAGAAUGCCCACUUACACUUCCUCUGUGCACCAGUCAGACCUGGGAUGACGCUGAUGGAGAAAUGCUUGGUGGUCCCAGAGCCAAGUACCCAGGUGCUUUUUCGGACAGUGGUGGAAAGUGGGUUAUAGCUGUAGGUGGUCUGGAAAAUGUCCAGAAGUCAUCAAGAAGUUCCUCGGCCCAGUGGUACCGCCCUUGGUGUGCAUCAACUGGUCAUUUUAACAAGUGGCUCAGAACAGAUGUGCGCAUCAAAAUUUGCAGGGCAGGGGAGAUUUGAACAUCACCAGGGGGGACUGCCGGUAGUUUGGGGGUGGACACUCACUGUCUGCUCCCUGCUGAGGUCAUCCGGUUCCCUUCCAAAUGGGGACUCAGGGGAACCUGGCUACCUCUGCCUGUCUAUCCCCCAGGUCAUCACUGAGUUUUUUUUUUUUUUUUUUAUGAUAGUCACAGAGAGAGAGAGAGAGAGAGAGGCAGAGACACAGGCAGAGGGAGAAGCAGGCUCCAUGCAGGGAGCCUGAUGUGGGACUCGAUCCCGGGACUCCAGGAUCACGCCCUGGGCCAAGGGCAGGCACCAAACCGCUGCACCACCCAGGGAUCCCAAUCACUGAGUAUUCUUAAAGGAAAGUGUGUCUCUACUCAUCAGGCUUGGAAAACACAGAUAAUCCCCCAAAGGUGGGUGGUUUGCAUGGAUGUUUGUGAGGGCACCGUGCUCACCCACCAUGAGGUCAGGAGCAUCAGGUCCCUGCGCGGGGGCCCGACCUUCUCUCCUGUUGCCCAACUAUCUCCCCCACACCCAGGCCAGGUCUCUGCCAGGAGCGUGCAUCCGGCCUAUUGCUGCACAUGCACGCCUAACGGAAGUAUAGUGCGAGCCACAUCUGGAAUUGCACAUUUUCUAGUAGCCGUGUUCAACAAGUAAAAAGAGAGAGACAAAAUUAAAUUCAAUAAAACAUUUUAUUUAACCCCA